rnacentral:rRNA from 1 species
CAAUAGCGUAUAUUAAAGCUGUUGCGGUUAAAAAGCUCGUAGUUGGAUUUCUGUCAAGGACAACUGGUCCGCCCUCCGGGUGAGCACAUAGUUUGGUCUUGACAUCUUGCUGGAAGCUGUUGCUGCACUUGGCUGUGUGGCGCAGUGUUCAGCACUUUCACUUUGAGGAAAUUGGAGUGUUUCAAGCAGGCACAUGCCUUUGGACACAGUAGCAUGGAAUAAUUAGAUUGGGCUUUUGCUCCAAUUUGUCGGUUUCUGGAGCUGAGGUGAGUAUUAAUGGGGAUUGCUGGGGGCAUCCGAAUUUAGCCGUCAGAGGUGAAAUUCUUGGAUCUGCUAAAGACGGACAACUGCGAAAGCGUUUGCCCAGGAUGUUUUCAUUGA